UACGAAGGGGGCUAGCGUUGCUCGGAAUCACUUGGCGUAAAGCGCACGUAGGCGGCUUUUUAAGUCAGGGGUGAAAUCCUGGAGCUCAACUCCAGAACUGCCUUUGAUACUGAGAAGCUUGAGUCCGGGAGAGGUGAGUGGAACUGCGAGUGUAGAGGUGAAAUUCGUAGAUAUUCGCAAGAACACCAGUGGCGAAGGCGGCUCACUGGCCCGGUACUGACGCUGAGGUGCGAAAGCGUGGGGAGCAAACAGG
rnacentral:rRNA from 1 species